GGCAGACAGCGACCACACACCGAGCGCUUGGCUCUCCAGCGCCAGUCCGCGUCAACAGAGCCUCAACGCGUGGAACCAGACCUUAGCCGAUCGGGAGGAGCUGUCUCCGCCUACGUGCACUUUGCGUCACCGGGUGGCCUCCAUUUCAAGGACUGAAGCUCACAGUUGGCACCUGACCUGGACUCUAGAGCCACAACAGCUGCAUUACUGGUGACAAAGCAAGCUUGGGAGGUUUGGAGGCGAGAUGAAACGAGAGGGAGAUGUGAAGAGGCCCAGGAAAGAAAAGUAUCUUUAACAGAGCUUAGACGUGUUAACGAAGCAGGGCCCUCUAAGCCAGGAAAAGUAGGUUCAAUCAGCAGUCAGAUGGGUCUGAGAAAAGCCUUCAUGCUGCACAUUCUCCAAAUGAACAAAUAAACACCAAUUCAGGCUUUAAAAGCUGAUUAAGGGCUCGCGCGAUGACUCAAUGGGGAAUGAUGCCAACCAGAGGACCUAAGUUCAUUCCCCAGGACUCCCACGUGGUAGAAAGAGAGAACCAACUGACUCCUGCAACUUGUCUCCAGACCUCCACGUGCACACUGUGGCAUGAGCACCAACCCUUCCCAG